rnacentral:rRNA from 1 species
UACAGAGGGGGCAAGCGUUGUUCGGAAUUACUGGGCGUAAAGGGCGCGUAGGCGGCCCGCUAAGUCGAACGUGAAAUCCCCGAGCUCAACUCGGGAACUGCGUCCGAUACUGGCGGGCUUGAAUCCGGGAGAGGGAUGCCGGAAUUCCAGGUGUAGCGGUGAAAUGCGUAGAUAUCUGGAGGAACAUCGGUGGCGAAGGCGGCAUCCUGGACCGGUAUUGACGCUGAGGCGCGAAAGCCAGGGGAGCAAACGGG